rnacentral:misc_RNA from 1 species
GGGAUUCAUGUGUUGGGGAUUUGUUAUGGGUUGCAGUUGCUUGUACAGAACCUUGGUGGAGUUGUGAAGGUUGGGGAGAAGCAUGAGUAUGGGAGAAUGGAAAUUGAGGUUCAGAAGAAUAGUGGGUUGUUUGGGAAUAAGCAAAUUGGGGAUAAACAGGUUGUUUGGAUGAGCCAUGGUGAUGAGGCUGUGAAAUUGCCGGAAGGGUUUGAGGUUGUGGCGAGGAGUAAUCAGGGAGCUGUUGCUGCCAUUGAGAAUAGGGAAAAAAAGUUUUAUGGGUUGCAGUAUCAUCCCGAGGUGACACACUCGAUUGAAGGGAUGGAAACACUACGACAUUUCCUAUUUGAUAUUUGCGAGAUUACAGCAGGCUGGAACAUGGAAGAUGUUCUGGAGGAAGAAAUUAAAGUAAUUAAAGCUAUGGUAGGACCUGAAGAUCAUGUGAUUU